CCUCGGCCGCUACGUACAGGUGUUGAGGCCCUUGCGGCAAAAGCCUGCCUGGGCCGAGGCGUCUGCGAGCCAGCGAGGCAGGGGCAGGGGCGUGCCCCGUACGAAUCAGCAAGGACCGUUACUCGCACCGGGUUCCCAUCAUCGAUCGUCGUCAUGCUUCGGCGCUGUGUUCGGCACUUGCCAUGUGUCGUGUCCGUUCUUCCGACGGCCCGUGACGUCUCCCCACCAAACGCCGGAGGCCAGAGAGGCUGACGCGCUCCGAGCCGCGCAGUGAGUCCAGGAGCCCGCAUCUGAAGCCGGGACCACCCGAUCUACAUUCCAGGGCUUUAAGCCAGGACCCUGAGCUGCCCCUCACCGGUGCUGCCCCCCUCAAGUGUCCCUCCCCAGCCCUGCGGUGCGGGGGCAGGGGGCACGCUGUGUUAACAGACGAGGUGGUACAGGCACGUGAGUAACAAAAACUCUCACGACGACUCGUGUUCGGGAACGCACGCUGGGCGGGUCCAAAUGGAGUCCACAGCUUCGAGUAACACAGGUCCUCGGAGCCAGACAGCAGUGGAUCCGAAUCCUCUUGACUUAAGUUAUGAGCUUGGGCAGGUCAUUUUCUCUUUCUGAAACCUUCAUAAAAUCUGUAAAAUGGA